UUCAGGUAAUUCUGUUG
rnacentral:miRNA from 1 species